rnacentral:rRNA from 1 species
UAGGGAAUCUUCGGCAAUGGACGAAAGUCUGACCGAGCAACGCCGCGUGAGUGAAGAAGGUUUUCGGAUCGUAAAGCUCUGUUGUAAGAGAAGAACGAGUGUGAGAGUGGAAAGUUCACACUGUGACGGUAUCUUACCAGAAAGGGACGGCUAACUACGUGCCAGCAGCCGCGGUAAUACGUAGGUCCCGAGCGUUGUCCGGAUUUAUUGGGCGUAAAGCGAGCGCAGGCGGUUAGAUAAGUCUGAAGUUAAAGGCUGUGGCUUAACCAUAGUACGCUUUGGAAACUGUUUAACUUGAGUGCAGAAGGGGAGAGUGGAAUUCCAUGUGUAGCGGUGAAAUGCGUAGAUAUAUGGAGGAACACCGGUGGCGAAAGCGGCUCUCUGGUCUGUAACUGACGCUGAGGCUCGAAAGCGUGGGGAGCGAACAGGAUUAGAUACCCUGGUAGUCCACGCCGUAAACGAUGAGUGCUAGGUGUUAGGUCCUUUCCGGGACUUAGUGCCGCAGCUAACGCAUUAAGCACUCCGCCUGGGGAGUACGACCGCAAGGUUG